rnacentral:rRNA from 1 species
CAGCCGCCGCGGUAAUACCGGCGGCCCGAGUGGCGGUCACUAUUAUUGGGCUUAAAGCGUCCGUAGCCGGGUUGGGAAGGCCUCCGGGAAAUCUGGCCGCUUAACGGUCAGAAUGCCGGAGGAUACUCCCAGCCUAGGGAGCGGGAGAGGCCGAGGGUAUUCCCGGAGUAGGGGUGAAAUCCUAUAAUCCCGGGAGGACCACCUGUGGCGAAGGCGCUCGGCUGGAACGCGUCCGACGGGGAGGGACGAAGGCCAGGGGAGCAAACCGGAUUAGAUACCCGGGUAGUCCUGGCUGUAAACGAUGCGGACUUUGUGUCGGACAAGCUAUGAGCUUGUCCGGUGCCGGAGGGAAACCGUUAAGUCCGCCGCCUGGGGAGUACGGCCGCAAGGCUGAAACUUAAAGGAAUUGGCGGG